AGAGUUUGAUCAUGGCUCAGAAUCAACGCUGGCGGCGCGCUUAACACAUGCAAGUCGAACGAGAAAGGGGAGCAAUCCCUGAGUAAAGUGGCGUACGGGUGAGUAACACGUGGGUAAUCUACCUUUUGGUGGGGAAUAACGCUGGGAAACCGGCGCUAAUACCGCAUGAGCCUCCAUUGAUUAAAUGGAAGGGAAAAGAGAAAUCUGCCGAAAGAGGAGCCCGCGGCUGAUUAGCUAGUUGGUGAGGUAAAGGCUCACCAAGGCAAUGAUCGGUAGCCGGCCUGAGAGGGCACACGGCCACACUGGCACUGAAACACGGGCCAGACUCCUACGGGAGGCAGCAGUGGGGAAUCUUGCACAAUGGGGGAAACCCUGAUGCAGCGACGCCGCGUGAGUGAUGAAGCCCUUCGGGGUGUAAAGCUCUUUCGGCAGGGACGAUAAUGACGGUACCUGAAGAAGAAGCUGCGGCUAACUACGUGCCAGCAGCCGCGGUAAUACGUAGGCAGCGAGCGUUGUUCGGAGUUACUGGGCGUAAAGAGUGCGUAGGCGGUUUUCUAAGUUUGGUGUGAAAUCUCCCGGCUCAACUGGGAGGGUGCGCCGAAGACUGGAAGGCUAGAGUGUGGGAGAGGUAAGCGGAAUUCCUGGUGUAGCGGUGAAAUGCGUAGAUAUCGGAGGAACACCUGCGGUGUAGACGGCUUACUGGACCAUAACUGACGCUGAGGCACGAAAGCGUGGGUAGCAAACAGGAUUAGAUACCCUAGUAGUCC
rnacentral:rRNA from 1 species